CAUAGGUUAAUGAGGCGAACCGGGGGAACUGAAACAUCUAAGUACCCCGAGGAAAAGAAAUCAACCGAGAUUCCCCCAGUAGCGGCGAGCGAACGGGGAGGAGCCCAGAGCCUGAAUCAGUGUGUGUGUUAGUGGAAGCGUCUGGAAAGGCGCGCGAUACAGGGUGACAGCCCCGUACACAAAAAUGCACAUAUUGUGAGCUCGAUGAGUAGGGCGGGACACGUGGUAUCCUGUCUGAAUAUGGGGGGACCAUCCUCCAAGGCUAAAUACUCCUGACUGACCGAUAGUGAACCAGUACCGUGAGGGAAAGGCGAAAAGAACCCCGGCGAGGGGAGUGAAAAAGAACCUGAAACCGUGUACGUACAAGCAGUGGGAGCACGCUUAGGCGUGUGACUGCGUACCUUUUGUAUAAUGGGUCAGCGACUUAUAUUCUGUAGCAAGGUUAACCGAAUAGGGGAGCCGAAGGGAAACCGAGUCUUAACUGGGCGUUAAGUUGCAGGGUAUAGACCCGAAACCCGGUGAUCUAGCCAUGGGCAGGUUGAAGGUUGGGUAACACUAACUGGAGGACCGAACCGACUAAUGUUGAAAAAUUAGCGGAUGACUUGUGGCUGGGGGUGAAAGGCCAAUCAAACCGGGAGAUAGCUGGUUCUCCCCGAAAGCUAUUUAGGUAGCGCCUCGUGAAUUCAUCUCCGGGGGUAGAGCACUGUUUCGGCAAGGGGGUCAUCCCGACUUACCAACCCGAUGCAAACUGCGAAUACCGGAGAAUGUUAUCACGGGAGACACACGGCGGGUGCUAACGUCCGUCGUGAAGAGGGAAACAACCCAGACCGCCAGCUAAGGUCCCAAAGUCAUGGUUAAGUGGGAAACGAUGUGGGAAGGCCCAGACAGCCAGGAUGUUGGCUUAGAAGCAGCCAUCAUUUAAAGAAAGCGUAAUAGCUCACUGGUCGAGUCGGCCUGCGCGGAAGAUGUAACGGGGCUAAACCAUGCACCGAAGCUGCGGCAGCGACGCUGAUGCGUUGUUGGGUAGGGGAGCGUUCUGUAAGCCUGUGAAGGUGUGCUGUGAGGCAUGCUGGAGGUAUCAGAAGUGCGAAUGCUGACAUAAGUAACGAUAAAGCGGGUGAAAAGCCCGCUCGCCGGAAGACCAAGGGUUCCUGUCCAACGUUAAUCGGGGCAGGGUGAGUCGACCCCUAAGGCGAGGCCGAAAGGCGUAGUCGAUGGGAAACAGGUUAAUAUUCCUGUACUUGGUGUUACUGCGAAGGGGGGACGGAGAAGGCUAUGUUGGCCGGGCGACGGUUGUCCCGGUUUAAGCGUGUAGGCUGGUUUUCCAGGCAAAUCCGGAAAAUCAAGGCUGAGGCGUGAUGACGAGGCACUACGGUGCUGAAGCAACAAAUGCCCUGCUUCCAGGAAAAGCCUCUAAGCAUCAGGUAACAUCAAAUCGUACCCCAAACCGACACAGGUGGUCAGGUAGAGAAUACCAAGGCGCUUGAGAGAACUCGGGUGAAGGAACUAGGCAAAAUGGUGCCGUAACUUCGGGAGAAGGCACGCUGAUAUGUAGGUGAAGUCCCUCGCGGAUGGAGCUGAAAUCAGUCGAAGAUACCAGCUGGCUGCAACUGUUUAUUAAAAACACAGCACUGUGCAAACACGAAAGUGGACGUAUACGGUGUGACGCCUGCCCGGUGCCGGAAGGUUAAUUGAUGGGGUCAGCGCAAGCGAAGCUCUUGAUCGAAGCCCCGGUAAACGGCGGCCGUAACUAUAACGGUCCUAAGGUAGCGAAAUUCCUUGUCGGGUAAGUUCCGACCUGCACGAAUGGCGUAAUGAUGGCCAGGCUGUCUCCACCCGAGACUCAGUGAAAUUGAACUCGCUGUGAAGAUGCAGUGUACCCGCGGCAAGACGGAAAGACCCCGUGAACCUUUACUAUAGCUUGACACUGAACAUUGAGCCUUGAUGUGUAGGAUAGGUGGGAGGCUUAGAAGUGUGGACGCCAGUCUGCAUGGAGCCGACCUUGAAAUACCACCCUUUAAUGUUUGAUGUUCUAACGUUGACCCGUAAUCCGGGUUGCGGACAGUGUCUGGUGGGUAGUUUGACUGGGGCGGUCUCCUCCUAAAGAGUAACGGAGGAGCACGAAGGUUGGCUAAUCCUGGUCGGACAUCAGGAGGUUAGUGCAAUGGCAUAAGCCAGCUUGACUGCGAGCGUGACGGCGCGAGCAGGUGCGAAAGCAGGUCAUAGUGAUCCGGUGGUUCUGAAUGGAAGGGCCAUCGCUCAACGGAUAAAAGGUACUCCGGGGAUAACAGGCUGAUACCGCCCAAGAGUUCAUAUCGACGGCGGUGUUUGGCACCUCGAUGUCGGCUCAUCACAUCCUGGGGCUGAAGUAGGUCCCAAGGGUAUGGCUGUUCGCCAUUUAAAGUGGUACGCGAGCUGGGUUUAGAACGUCGUGAGACAGUUCGGUCCCUAUCUGCCGUGGGCGCUGGAGAACUGAGGGGGGCUGCUCCUAGUACGAGAGGACCGGAGUGGACGCAUCACUGGUGUUCGGGUUGUCAUGCCAAUGGCACUGCCCGGUAGCUAAAUGCGGAAGAGAUAAGUGCUGAAAGCAUCUAAGCACGAAACUUGCCCCGAGAUGAGUUCUCCCUGACCCUUUAAGGGUCCUGAAGGAACGUUGAAGACGACGACGUUGAUAGGCCGGGUGUGUAAGCGCAGCGAUGCGUUGAGCUAACCGGUACUAAUGAACCGUGAGGCUUAACCUU
rnacentral:rRNA from 1 species